CCCUUCCAAUAGACCAGCCAGCGGGGGAUCCUGGGAGCUGAAGUCUGGCACGGCUUGGAGGCACCCGCUUAGAGAAGACGCUAGUCCUCAAGAACUGCAGCGCGCACAGCGAGCCUCUGCGCCUCGAGGGCGGACUUUCGGGGACGGGCGCCGGGCGCCGGACGCGAAGCCUCGUCCCCUCUGCGGACCCUCGGGGGCAGCGGGGAGAACCGGCGGGGCAGGCGGCCCACGAGCGCAGCGCCUCCUCCUGCCCUGCCCGGCGCUGCCCCGCAGAGCUCGGCCCCGCCCGCCCCCGCAGCCAGUUUUGGAAAAAGGACACAGGGCGAGCGGAGAAGCUGCGAGGCAAAUCAGCCUGCGCUGCCAGCCCCGGAGCCCCCAAGAUUGGGCUGCCUGAGGGGAAGGUCUUAGUGCCCAGGGGAGCGGCCAGCCAGCCCCCACUCUGGUACCACAGGUGCCCCUGGACCCCGCCCCUCCUGCUGCCUCCAAAGGGCAUUCCCACCACGAAGACCCCUCAGCUGGGCACCUCCCCAGGCCUAGAGAGAAAAUCCGGGGAUCCUGGAACUGGGGGACCGCCAGUUGGUAGCCAGACAUCGUCCAACAGUAUUUAACGCAAGAGACCGUCCCUUCCUCCUAGAGGCCACGCGCAGAACGAGAUGACCCUACAAUGAAAAGUUCCGGGGGUGGGGGAGUGCUGCCAGAUGUGUCGCCCCCCCCCCCCC